AUUUAAUGUAAUUCCUAUGAUGUUAAUACACCAGAUCCCAUUAGAAAUCCACAGUUAAGCAUGCUUGGGAUAUAGUAGUACUGGGAUGGGUGGCCUACCAAUAAUUCCUAGUAUUUUACAUG
rfam:Picea glauca, whole genome shotgun sequence.